UACGAAGGGUGCAAACGUUGCUCGGAAUUAUUGGGCGUAAAGCGCACGUAGGCGGCAUUGCAAGUCGGAUGUGAAAUCUUAUGGCUUAACCAUAAAAGUGCAUCCGAAACUGCAGUGCUUGAGUACUUAAGAGGAUCGCGAAUUCCCGGUGGUAGAGGUGAAAUUCGUAGAUAUCGGGAAGAACACCAGUGGCGAAGGCGGCGAUCUGGGAAGAUACGUGACGCCUGAGGGACGAAAGCUAGGGGAGCGAAAGGG
rnacentral:rRNA from 1 species